UGACUNGAGUGCAGAAGGGGAGAGUGGAAUNCCAUGUGUAGCGGUGAAAUGCGUAGAUAUAUGGAGGAACACCAGUGGCGAAAGCGGCUCUCUGNUCUGUCACUGACGCUGAGGCUCGAAAGCGUGGGUAGCGAACAGGAUUAGAUACCCUGGUAGUNCACGCCGUAAACGAUGAGUGCUAGGUGUUAGGCCCUUUCCGGGGCUUAGUGCCGGAGCUAACGCAAUAAGCACUCCGCCUGGGGAGUACGACCGCAAGGUUGAAACUCAAAGGAAUUGACGGGGGCCCGCACAAGCGGUGGAGCAUGUGGUUUAAUUCGAAGCAACGCGAAGAACCUUACCAGGUCUUGACAUCCCGAUGCUAUUCUUAGAGAUAGGAAGUUACUUCGGUACAUCGGAGGCAGGUGGUGCAUGGUUGUCGUCAGCUCGUGUCGUGAGAUGUUGGGUUAAGUCCCGCAACGAGCGCAACCCUUAUUGUUAGUUGCCAUCAUUAAGUUGGGCACUCUAGCGAGACUGCCGGUAAUAAACCGGAGGAAGGUGGGGAUGACGUCAAAUCAUCAUGCCCCUUAUGACCUGGGCUACACACGUGCUACAAUGGUCGGUACAACGAGUUGCGAGCCGGUGACGGCAAGCUAAUCUCUGAAAGCCGAUCUCAGUUCGGAUUGGAGGCUGCAACUCGCCUCCAUGAAGUCGGAAUCGCUAGUAAUCGCGGAUCAGCACGCCGCGGUGAAUACGUUCCCGGGCCUUGUACACACCGCCCGUCACACCACGAGAGUUUGUAACACCCGAAGUCGGUGAGGUA
rnacentral:rRNA from 1 species